GUGGAGCAGCCCGGUAGCUCGUCAGGCUCAUAACCUGAAGGCCGCAGGUUCAAAUCCUGCCCCCGCAACCACUGAUA
rnacentral:tRNA from 2 species